rnacentral:lncRNA from 1 species
UAAAUAUGUGAAGCUUCUAAAUAUGAAAACUUAAAACAAGUAAAAGAGUUUACUAAUAGAAUUACCUGAUGUAAUAGCUGGGAUAACGAGCUCAGCUGAUCACGCAGCUGUGGAUCUCGAAGAAUCUCUAUAACCAUAUUGCAGACGGUAUCUCGGAAGCUCUGACAUCGCUGGCUCAGAAGCCUCUGCACGACCUCCUCCAUAUGCGCAUCACUCUA